GACGAACGCUGGCGGCGUGCUUAACACAUGCAAGUCACGGGGGCCCGCAAGGGUAACCGGCGAACGGGUGCGUAACACGUGAACAAUCUGCCUAGAUGUGGGGGAUAGCCGGCCCAACGGCCGGGUAAUACCGCAUACGCUCUUCGGGUGGCAUCACUUGAAGAGGAAACCUCCGGGGCAUCUAGAGGAGUUCGCGGCCUAUCAGCUAGUUGGUGGGGUAACGGCCUACCAAGGCAAUGACGGGUAGCUGGUCUGAGAGGAUGGCCAGCCACAUUGGGACUGAGAUACGGCCCAGACUCCUACGGGAGACAGCAGUGGGGAAUAUUGCGCAAUGGCCGAAAGGCUGACGCAGCGACGCCGCGUGGGGGAUGAAGCAUUUCGGUGUGUAAACCCCUGUUGCUCGGGACGAACAAGCGAUUUCGAUCGCUCCGACGGUACCGGGUGAGGAAGCACCGGCUAACUCCGUGCCAGCAGCCGCCGUAAUAC
rnacentral:rRNA from 1 species